rnacentral:rRNA from 1 species
GUUUACGGCCAUACCACCUGAACACGCCCGAUCUGAUCUCGGAAGCUAAGCAGGGCCGGGCCUGGUUAGUACUUGGAUGGGAGACCGCUUGACCCCCCAAAGUCCAUAUCCU